GGAGUAUAUUCAGAUUUUAUUCACAAAUAUCACAAAUAUUCAUGAAGUUCAGGAAAAAAAAUGGAUCAUUAAAAAGGAAAUACAGUGAUCCCUCGCUAUAUCGCGUUUCAUCUUUCACGGCUUCGCUGCUUCACGGAUUUUUUUUUUUUUUUUUUGCGAGUCGUUCGUUGCAGUUCUCAAAUAUAAUCGAAGGUGGCAUAUCCGUUUAUAAAAAUCUUCUUGCUCAGAAAAAGAAAGAGCGCCAACAACUACCCAUAACAAAGUUCUUCUCUGGGAGAAACACUCCUGCGCCUCCAGUAGAAACAGACGCUCCAGCGGAGCGGAGUCAGGACGAAGAGGCACAGCUGGGACUGGGAAAUACGUGUGUGACAAUGUUUCCAACCUUGUAUUACUAUAUUAAAAUUAGUGUUUUAAACAAAUUUUGGGCUUUAAAACAGGUUUUGAUUUUUGGUUUCAUUCUACAGUUCAGUAUUGCAUUGUAAAAUAAAAAUAAAAAAUAAAGCUGACUACUUCACGGAUUUCACUUUUCGCGUGUUAUUUUUGGAACGCAACUCCCGCGAUAAACGAGGGAUCACUGUAUUCCAAAAAGAAAAACUGAUUAGGCCAUUGCCACCCAUCGGCUGCCAAACAAUCGGAAUAGGCAGAGUCCCUGUGGGGUCAUCCUAAUUUCUUCGUCAUCGUACUCAUCAUCCAUGCUGUAAUCACGCAGUUGACGCUGGCAGUUGCGACGACGACGACGGGCGGAUUUGCUGGCCUUUGGAGGCUUGGGAUCAACUAGAACACAUAUUAUAAAAGUCUGUUAGUGUUCAGAAUUUUCUACCUUCCUGUGACUUGCAUUCAUUUCACAACAAAGCCAGAUACUUACAUUUCAGAGUCCAGACUGGUUGGUCUUCGUCGGAUUGCCACAGUUCUUCAGUGUGUUCGCCUGUUCAGAAACACCAUCAUCACCAUCGUCAUGAUGAUCAUCAUCUUCUCUAUUGCUUUCACAUGUGAAUUAUGGGUUCAUUUCUUCUCACCAGAGUCUGGUGGCUGGCCGCCGUUGACCUCACUGCUCGGACAGUUCUGGUGUUGCAAGCUGCUAUUGAAUGUCGCGUGGGCCCUUUGCUCGCUGGGACCAGCACAUUCCGUUGGGUGAGCGUCAUCGGCUUCAGUCUGACAGCCCUUAUCCUCGGUCUCUGGUUGUGCAUUGCACUGCUCCUUCUAAAUGGCCAGACAGAGGAAGACAUGGAUCACAUGUGGUUGACAGCUGUCAAAGCCAGGACUUUAACAUCUGCUUGUGCAAUUCUUCGUGAGACCUAUGUGGAGCGUACGCUCUGAGCGCUCACCUGCAGUCUGACUGUUGGUUCUUCUGACCAGAAGAUCUGCACGAGCAUUUCUAUGGUGCAGAAAGUGUUUGUGUUCUUAUUUCUGAUGGACCCUGAUUUAACAAACUCCUGGAAUCCAUCCUUGUAUUCAAUCAGGUACCACUGGGAAAAGUGUAAGAAAGGAAGCUUUUUUAUUGCCAUUCCUCUGAAAAUGAAUAAUUAGCAGUCAAGCUGAAUUAUUUUUUGUGCUUUUUUAAAAUAAUCCACUCCAGCUUCUAAAUAAGGACUUCUGAUUCUGCAGCAACAUCUGAAUUACCUCUCCUAUAAUCAUUGUGAUCCGUGCCUGCCACCAGCCAAAUGGUUCCUGAUCACAAAGCCUGGAGAAAACCUGUGAGACAAUGGACAUAAAAACUGGUAAACUACAACUACCAGACCUGAAUUAAUUGAAUCAUCAGUUAUACUGGUAGUUCUCACCUCCACCUCAUCUCCAACAGCCACAUUAAAGGAAAAAUUUGGAGGAGGCAGCCGCACAGAGUCACAAUAUACCUCAACUUCCUCCUGUGGACUAUAGAUAAUAUAUGUCAAUAAUCAAAACUAAUAAUACAUCAAUACACUCCAGAGGUUUAAGAUGUAUAAAGAAAAAACAUUAAACUUACUUGUUUUCAUAAACUACUGCCAGUAGCUUUUCAGAAAUGGACUUGAUUUGGGCCUAAAGAGAAAGAACCAGUCACAGUAUUGACAACAUUCAAAGACAUCGUGGUUAAAUAAGUUUAAAAUUCUUAACAACUAAGUAUUGAUCUAACAAUGUGUGCAAUGCCAGCUGUGAGCUAGUGAAUAUUAAGUAUACAGGUGCUUUU
ensembl:lncRNA